CAGUUUGUGGUUGAUUGCCUUGUUGUUGAUUCUCUCUUUGGUGAUUUCAUCUUGUGGAGCUUCAACUCAGUCAUACAAAAUCCGCAAACAUUUGAAUAGAAGAACACCACCUAGUGAUUCAAAGCCCGCACCCCAGUAUCUUAGCAAGCAAGAAAGAAAACUAGAGAAGCAUAGAUCUGCUGUAUAUGGGUUGUGGUGGUUAGACGAACUGAUUUUUAAAUAUUACUAGAUGGGUAUCCGCGUUAUGUCGCAAGAUUUUUUUUUUUUUAACUUUCGGUUUAAUGUAAUAUUUGUACAAAUUCAAGUAAUUUAAGUAAAAGUUUUGUCCAAAUUCUAGUAAUUUACUUCCAAAUCUAAAUUUAUUUCUCAA